GGGACCAAGAUGGCGGACCUUGAUUCGCCUCCGAAGCUGUCAGGGGUGCAGCCGCCGUCUGAGGGGGUGGGAGGUGGCCGCUGCUCCGAAAUCUCCGCUGAGCUCAUUCGCUCCCUGACAGAGCUGCAGGAGCUGGAGGCUGUAUACGAACGGCUCUGCGGCGAGGAGAAAGUGGUGGAGAGAGAGCUGGAUGCUCUUUUGGAACAGCAAAACACCAUUGAAAGUAAGAUGGUCACUCUCCACCGAAUGGGUCCUAAUCUGCAGCUGAUUGAGGGAGAUGCAAAGCAGCUGGCUGGAAUGAUCACCUUUACCUGCAACCUGGCUGAGAAUGUGUCCAGCAAAGUUCGUCAGCUUGACCUGGCCAAGAACCGCCUCUAUCAGGCCAUUCAGAGAGCUGAUGACAUCUUGGACCUGAAGUUCUGCAUGGAUGGAGUUCAGACUGCUUUGAGGAAUGAAGAUUAUGAGCAGGCUGCAGCACAUAUUCAUCGCUACUUGUGCCUGGACAAGUCGGUCAUUGAGCUCAGCCGACAGGGCAAAGAGGGGAGCAUGAUUGAUGCCAACCUGAAAUUGCUGCAGGAAGCUGAGCAACGUCUCAAAGCCAUUGUGGCAGAGAAGUUUGCCAUUGCCACCAAGGAAGGUGAUCUGCCCCAGGUGGAGCGCUUCUUCAAGAUCUUCCCACUGCUGGGUUUGCAUGAGGAGGGAUUAAGAAAGUUCUCGGAGUACCUUUGCAAGCAGGUGGCCAGUAAAGCUGAGGAGAAUCUGCUCAUGGUGCUGGGGACAGACAUGAGUGAUCGGAGAGCUGCAGUCAUCUUUGCAGAUACACUUACUCUUCUGUUUGAAGGUGAGCCUCUUUCUCCACUCUAGAGAGACUGGAGACUGUAUAUG
rnacentral:sRNA from 1 species